rnacentral:rRNA from 1 species
UGCCGCGUGAGUGAUGAAGGCCUUAGGGUUGUAAAGCUCUUUUACCAGGGAUGAUAAUGACAGUACCUGGAGAAUAAGCUCCGGCUAACUCCGUGCCAGCAGCCGCGGUAAUACGGAGGGAGCUAGCGUUGUUCGGAAUUACUGGGCGUAAAGCGCGCGUAGGCGGCUUUUUAAGUCAGAGGUGAAAUCCCAGGGCUCAACCCUGGAACUGCCUUUGAAACUGGAAAGCUAGAAUAUUGGAGAGGUAAGUGGAAUUCCGAGUGUAGAGGUGAAAUUCGUAGA